rnacentral:rRNA from 1 species
ACUUCAGGACGGGGACAACAGUUGGAAACGACUGCUAAUACCCGAUGUGCCGAAAGGUGAAACCUAAUUGGCCUGGAGAAGAGCUUGCGUCUGAUUAGCUAGUUGGUGGGGUAAAGGCCUACCAAGGCGACGAUCAGUAGCUGGUCUGAGAGGAUGAGCAGCCACACUGGGACUGAGACACGGCCCAGACUCCUACGGGAGGCAGCAGUGGGGAAUUUUCCCGCAAUGGGCGAAAGCCUGACGGAGCAACGCCGCGUGAGGGAGGAAGGUCUUUGGAUUGUAAACCUCUUUUCUCAAGGAAGAAGUUCUGACGGUACUUGAGGAAUCAGCCUCGGCUAACUCCGUGCCAGCAGCCGCGGUAAUACGGGGGAGGCAAGCGUUAUCCGGAAUUAUUGGGCGUAAAGCGUCCGCAGGUGGUCAGCCAAGUCUGCCGUCAAAUCAGGUUGCUUAACGACCUA